rnacentral:piRNA from 1 species
UAUUGAUAAGUGAGGUGUACUU